CUUCUGUCUGGAAAAAGGUAUAGUUACAUAACCACCUUGCAGCUGCUGGGAUUAGAUGAGGGCACAGAGGCCAACGAUAAGGACCUGAUCAUGAGGAAAGGAGCCUACUUGUCCUUCCUUUACUUGCGUCACCUGAGAAUCAGAGAGCUCCAGCGGGUCUGCCUGGGAAUCCUGAACUACUUCAGAUCUGUUGAGCGAACUUUAACAAUCAGCACCUCAGGUCUCACCCUGCAUGCUGGUAAUCUAAUCCCCAGUGCUGAAGAUACCUGUUGGGUAAAUGCUAUCAAAGGAGGCAUUGGUGUUUCUGGUGGUCUUGGUUCUCACUACUAUGUCCAUUAUACACCAGCUGACUUCAAGGUCCACAGUGCACAGUUCAUGGAGUUUUCUGAGGUGGAAAAUCAUGAUGACUUUUAUACCACUCAAGAUGGAUACAUUCACACACAGGACCAGCGAGGGGCUUACAUCAUGUACGAUGCAGCUUUAAAGGACCUGAAGGACCUUGAAAAUCAGUUGCUGCUUGUGGCAAGCCACUACAUUGAACAAGAUAAAAGCUACGUAACAUACCAUCAAUCCAGGGAUGACAACCUCUUAGCGUGGGCGCACACAUCCGUGGAUCGAUUUGCGGUGCUGCUUGACAUUUGGACUUGUGAAGCUGCUCUCUUAGAGAAUAAACGUCAGCUUCUAGAUGGUUACUUUGAGGCUUACCAGCAUGCUCUGGAUACUGAGGAAAGAUUUGCUUUGGCCCAAGCAAUAACUGACAUCAUGCACAAACGUCCACGAUUUGAUCUCAGCCUCAAGUAUUUUGUGAACACUUACAAUGAUGAAUGCAUCUGCCUCAGGCUUCAGCUGCAGCUGGUGAGAGAGAUAUUCAGCCAACAUAUAGAUGCCCAGCAGGAAUAUGUCCAAAAGAUUUGGCGAAAAGAUCAUACAGGUGGUAUCAAUGUAUUUGGACUUCCCCAUAAUAUAAUUGCUAAGCAACUUAUCUCUCUGAACAACAGUUGCCCUACUUUGAAGAACAUUUACUUGCUGGAGUUUCACCCUUCCCUGGGCCUGGCAUCUUUAAUCCCGAAAGCUCUUGAGUACGUCUCUCAGGAGUUUUAUAGCAUCUAUAGACCAAAAACACCCAGUGAGGCAACUAGUCUAGAAAAACAAGUACUUCGGCUUGCAGUGGAUGAAUGGCUGGCCAUGGAAAAGCUUGAAUCUUCAUACAGCUCUCAAAUUCAGAAAGAUGUAGGUUCAAUUUGUGCUUUUUAUGUAAGUGAGAAUUUUUGUAACUUGUAAGUCCAAUUGAGUAAGUGUUGUAAGGAUGGAAAUAUCUUGUUCAUGCUAUAAUACAGUACAUGUUCUUUGUUU
rnacentral:lncRNA from 1 species